GUGCUCAUUUUGGCAGCACAUAUACUAAAAUUGGAAUGAUACAAAGAAGAUUAGCAUGGCACCUGCACGACGACACUAUUAAAAAAAUAUUCUUAACCUUUUGAU
rnacentral:snRNA from 1 species